ensembl:lncRNA LINC02223 long intergenic non-protein coding RNA 2223
GGCAUUGUAAAUGACAACACCGCAACUGAAAGCAAGCUUGAAUUUCUGGGAGUAGCAUUAGGAUACAGGACCCCUGCUGAGCUCACCAGUUCCUUGCUCUACACAGCUGCUUUCUCAGCUGGGGUUUUGAAAUAAGCACUGUGAGAAAAGACAGAAAUGACCAUGAUGCAUCUUUCUCACUAUGAGAAAAAGGUACCAUGUGAAGGCCUGGGCAUAUAACAUGAAACAAGAAAGAUAAGGCCCGUGCUUACAUAGAACUUGGUGAAGAAUCUAGACCAUAACAAGCACACAGAGAAAACGUAUCACAAAUUGUGCUAAAGUUCUGUAAAGGGAUUAAGAUGAAGUGUCACAAGACUGAAUUAGACAGAGUGCCCUUGAAAGAGUGCCAAUUUUUAGAAUGGAGGGUGUAGAUCCAUCCUUUGCAACUGGUGAGGACCUCCUCAGUAAGGCACUGAGCCAGGAGUCUAUACAGCCAUGCCAGCAGCCUAGUCCAAAGACGUUUACAUCCUGGAAGAGAACUUGCUGGCUUUUCACCUCAGCAUGUAUGGGCCAAACUAAUAUAACAAGAAGUCUUGAGAGGAGUCAGCGGCCAAGCUCCAUGUCUUGCAGCCAAACAAUGCUGUGGGAUGGAAGGUGGGAUGUCAUGUGUCUGGUUUACAGCACUCACGUAUCAGUUGGCAGUUAACGGAAGUGCUACUGAUUGUAACAGUGGAAGCAAUUUGAAAUGAAAUACAACACUUAAAGCAAAUGAAACGGAAGUGAAUGCCAGCAGUAAAUGGCAAGAAGAAAUCCAGUUCAGUGUGUUCCUCAGAAAUCUUGCCUCUUGGGACUAAAUGCUGCAAAUGUAACUCUUAUCCUUGUUUUUCAAGUUUUACCAUCUCAAAGCUAUCCACUUUAUAUUAAAUUAGUUCUGUUAUAUUAUGUCAAUUUGUAUUCUUAAGAGCACAAGUUUGGCCUCAAAUAGACCUGAGCUGAGAUCCAAUUCUUUAAUUUAUCUGUGUUGUUUUCUUUUUCCUUAGCUUUAAAGUGGAAAAAAUGCUACUUACAUUUUAUUUAUGAAGGUUAAAGAUAAAGUGUCUGAUAUGGGACCUAUCAUAUGUGGUAGGCACUUAGUACAUGGUAGCAAUUAUGAUUAUUAUAUCUGAUAUUAGCAUUAUUAUUAUGAUUUGUUUUAAUCUUCAAAGUAUCAACUGUUUCUAUUACAUUUGUGGUAAAUACUCCUAAACAGAGUUUUUAAGUUCAAGUGUCCAAAGUUGUUAGAAACAAAGAUAUUUGACAAUAACAUAAUCAUAUCACAUGACCUCAUGAUUUAACCACCUCCCAAAGUUGCCACCUCCUAAUAUUAUCACCUUGGGGGUGAGGUUUCAACAUAUGAAUUUUAGAGGAACAUAAACAUUCAGACCAUAGCAAUAAUGAAGAUAAAGAGUUUAUUCAUAGAUAAAUGUUAAGAAGUAGAUACUGUUUGUUAGGAGAAGUGUCCACAGUUAGGGAGAAGUUAGAGGUCUGGUGUCAUCUUUGAUUUUUGUGUUUCUUCCGGAACCCUGUUGCCUGGCUUCCUACACUAUUUCUUGUGUCUUUUUCUUGUAGCUAAACUUGAACAUUUUUUCCUUGAGUACCAUUUUACAAUCAACUGUGCUUUUAUGCAGUGGACUUUCACUGAAUGUCCCCUAUUGGAAAUUUUAACAACAAUUUAACAACUAUUUAUUUGAUACUUUCUGUAUAACCAAUAUUAUUGAACAUCCUAGGAACACAUACAUAAAUAAAACUUGAUCUCUGCUUUCAGAAAAGUUGAUCUAUUUGGAAAGAUAUCAAGAAAAUAAACAACCUCAACAUUAUCAC